AAGAUGAGGUUCCUGAGCUUCCAGUAGGCGACUGACUGCCCAAGAGACCCAGGGCUCCGCAAGGAGACGGCGCAGGUGUCGGGGCUCCCCGCAGGCCGGGAAAAAGUGUCCGAACGCCUCGUGGACUGCAGCGGGGGAAAUGUCCCUUAAAAGUGCGACGAAGUGGGGAAGAAGGUGUAAUUACUAUUAUCAGCAUCUAGAAAGCAUCAUGAAUUUGCUGGAGUACUUCCUAGCACUGACCUCCUUCAUUCUGCGUUGUUCUUACUGGAUCUUUCCAUCAGCCAACAAUAUGGAAGUACCAAUACAAGGUCAAAUCAUUCCUGGAUUCAUCUGGAGUUGCUUAAAAGUUAAAUCAUUGGAAUUUUUGAUGAUACCUUUUCUAUAUGGAUUACAAUUUGAUCGCUGGGAAUUCUCCACCUUAAAGAAGGAGAGACGGGGUUUCACCGUGUUAGCCAGGAUGGUCUCAAUCUCCUGACCUCGUGAUCCGCCCACCUCGGCCUCCCAAAGUGCUGGGAUUACAGGCGUGAGCCACCAUGCCUGGUCCUAUAUUCCUUUUCAUUCCUGUCGAGCCAAGGAAAAUCAAGCUAAUUAACAUGUACAUUACUGAGAGGUGACAGCGUGCUGGCGGCCCUCACAGCCCUCGCUAGCUCUCGGCGCCUCCUCUGCCUGGGCUCCCACUUUGGCGGCACUUGAGGAGCCCUUCAGCCCGCCGCUGCACUGUGGGAGCCCUUUCCUGGCCUGGCUGAGGCCAGAGCCGGCCCUCUCAGCUCGCGGGGAGGUGUGGAGGGAGAGGCGCGGGCAGGAACUGGAGCUGCGUGCGGUGCUUGCGGGCCAGCGCGAGUUCCAGGUGGGUGUGGGCUCGGCGGGCCCUGCACUUGGAGCGCCUGACCGGCCCUGGGGCCCCGGGCAAUGAGGGACUUAGCACCCGGGCCAGCGGCUGUGGAGGGUGUGCUGGGUCCCCCAGCAGUGCCAGCCCACCAGCGCUGUGCUUGAUUUCUCACCGGGCCUUAGCUGCCUCCCCGUGGGGCAGGGCUCGGGACAUGCAGCCCGCUAUGACUGAGCCUAUCCCCCCACUCCCCGUGGGCUCCUGUGCCGCCCGAGCCUCCCCGACGAACGCUGCUCCCGGCUCCACGGCGCCCAGUCCCAUCGACCACCCAAGGGCUGAGGAGUGCGGGCCCACGGCACUGGGACUGGCAGGCAGCUCCACCUGUGGCCCGGUGCGGGAUCCACUGGGUGAAGCCAGCUGGGCUCCUGACUGGUGAGGACUUGGAGAACCUUUAUGUCUAGCUAGGGGAUUGUAAAUAUACCAAUCGGCACUCCGCAUCUAGCUCAAAGUUUGUAAACACACCAAUCAGCACCCUGUGUCUAGCUCAGGGUUUGUGAAUGCACCAAUCCACACUCUAUAUCUAGCUACUCUGGUGGGGACUUGGAGAACCUUUGUGUCCAUUCUCUGUAUCUAGCUAAUCUAGUGGGGUCGUGGAGAACCUUUGUGUCUAGCUCAGGGAUUGUAAACGCACCAAUCAGCACCCUGUGAAAACAGACCACUCGGCUCUCUGUAAAAUGGACCAAUCAGCAGGAUGUGGGUGGGGCCAGAUAAGAGAAUAAAAGCAGGCUGCCCGAGCCAGUAGUGGCAAUCUUCUCGGGUCCCGUUCCACAAUGUGGAGGCUUUGUUCUUUAGCUCCACAAUGUGGAAGCUUUGUUCUUUAGCUCUUUGCAAUAAAUCUUGCUACUGCUCACUCUUUUGGUCUACACUGCUUUUAUGGGCUGUAACACUUACUGCAAAGGUCGGCAGCUUCACUCCUGAGCCAGUGAGAACACGAACCCACCGGGAGGAACGAACAACUCCAGAUGCGCCGCCUUAAGAACUGUAACACUUACCGUGAAGGUCCACAGUUUCACUCCUGAGCCAGUGAGACCACGAACCCCACCAGGAGGAAGAAAUUCCGAACACACCCGAACGUCAGAAGGAGCAAACUCCGGACAUGCUGCCUUUAAGAACUGUGAAGCUUACCGCGAGGGUCCGCGGCUUCGUUCUUGAAGUCAGUGAGACCAAGAACCCACCAAUUCCGGACAUAUUACCUCACAUAGUUAACUUUUUGGGGAGUGAAAACAUUUAUUUAAAAAGAUUUGGCCGAGCUCGGUGGCUCACGCCUGUAAUCCCAGCACUUUUGGAGGCAGAGGUGGGUGGAUCACGAGGUUAGGAGAUGGAGACCAUCCUGGCUGACAUGGUGAAACCUCGUCUCUACUAAAAAUACAAAAAAUUAGCCGGGCUUGGUGGGGGGCGACGGUAGUCCCAGCUACUGUGGAGGCUGAGGCAGGAGAAUGGCG
rnacentral:lncRNA from 1 species